AUACGGAGGGUGCGAGCGUUAAUCGGAAUUACUGGGCGUAAAGCGCGCGUAGGUGGUUAAUUAAGUCAGAUGUGAAAGCCCAGGGCUCAACCUUGGAACUGCAUUUGAAACUGAUUGACUAGAGUUUUGUAGAGGGUGGUAGAAUUUCAGGUGUAGCGGUGAAAUGCGUAGAGAUCUGAGGGAAUACCAGUGGCGAAGGCGGCCACCUGGACAAAGACUGACACUGAGGCGCGAAGGCGUGGGGAGCAAACGGGAUUAGAAACCCUAGUAGUCC
rnacentral:rRNA from 1 species